GAUGAACGCUGGCGGCGUGCCUAAUACAUGCAAGUCGAGCGAAUGGAUUAAGAGCUUGCUCUUAUGAAGUUAGCGGCGGACGGGUGAGUAACACGUGGGUAACCUGCCCAUAAGACUGGGAUAACUCCGGGAAACCGGGGCUAAUACCGGAUAACAUUUUGAACCGCAUGGUUCGAAAUUGAAAGGCGGCUUCGGCUGUCACUUAUGGAUGGACCCGCGUCGCAGUAGCUAGUUGGUGAGGUAACGGCUCACCAAGGCAACGAUGCGUAGCCGACCUGAGAGGGUGAUCGGCCACACUGGGACUGAGACACGGCCCAGACUCCUACGUGAGGCAGCAGUAGGGAAUCUUCCGCAAUGGACGAAAGUCUGACGGAGCAACGCCGCGUGAGUGAUGAAGGCUUUCGGGUCGUAAAACUCUGUUGUUAGGGAAGAACAAGUGCUAGUUGAAUAAGCUGGCACCUUGACGGUACCUAACCAGAAAGCCACGGCUAACUACGUGCCAGCCGCCGCCGUAA
rnacentral:rRNA from 1 species